ensembl:lncRNA
UAAUAUUUCAAUUAUUUCAUAUUGAUCUUGAUUGCAGAACUGUGUCCUAGGUAACCAAUAAAUCUCCCUCUUUCUGUCAGUUCCUGUUCAAUUGUUUCAUCCAAAUUCAGUCUGUCUAUGUAAUUAUGAGGAGAGGAAUCCUACUGUGUUUACAGAGGAGGAAAACUGUCAGGUUGUGGGGACAGUAAACCUAAAUACAUGUCUGUGGGACACAUGCAAGAUCAGACCCCUCUCAGGGUGGUUAAAGGUUUGCAACAGGGAUAAGAAAAAAUUCAAAACCUGUCAAAAAUUUUCCACUGCAACAAUAUCCAUGAGCUGGUGGCUCUUUCUCUCCUUGCCUUGUGCAGACAAAGGGAGCCAGUCUAAAUCCAUUCAGAAAGAAAUACUAUGAUGCAAAGGCUUCCCUUAUCCUAAUGGUGAGGUCAGAUUGUACCAGUGUGCUCUGGAACAGCCUUUUCUGUGCUCAAAGGCACUUACAUCUCACCAAGGCUCUCCUUUGGCUAAUAAAGGUUUUCAGCUUUGAGUGUGUUGUUGCUACACUCAUGGAGAGAGACAGAGUGUUCUCAUCAUGUGAUCCUCUUACAAGGAUACAAGAGCUUCAUCAGUUUAAUUUCCAGGUUUUAAUUUCUUGCAUCCUAUUCCUCAGAAGGCCAGGGACUAAAAGGAGUUCCAUCCCUCGUAGCAUGCAUGGAAAAGGGAUUUGUGGCUCCUGGGCUUCUUUUCCAGCUCUCUCCAACUUCAUCAGUGUUACCAUCACUGCUGCUCACCUCAGUGACCCCACCUGGAAACUUACCAUCUUGCUUGGUUCAUCCCUUCCUCUCAAGGCAGCUUUCAAAAGAUCAUGCAUUUCCUCAUGAAGUUCAAUACUGAGUUCAACCUUUUCAUGUAAAUCUCUGAGCUGGACAAAUUGCAAGUGAAGGAGGUAAAAGACUCCCAGGAAUCUGUUGUGAAAGGCUGAUGAUUACAGCUGAGAUUCCUCCUGGAUGAGAAAACCAUCCCUUGGCUCACUGUGUGGCUGCAUCUUGGAACAUCAAGCGAGGUCUUUAUGUAAAUCUGAGUGUUCUUCUGCUUGUUCUGCUGCAAGAGCCAUUCUCAGUGGGACACAGAAGGAAAUCCAGUGAGACAAGGUAAUAGACAUGGAAGGAUGCUAAUGGAAAGAUUAGGUCUCUGGGCUGUCAGACUUGUCUCUCUUAAGCACAUGUUUAUGCUUUAAGUUAAAUAAUACAGCAUGUUUAUGUAUGUGAAUAUAUAUAUAUUUAUAUGCUGCAUAUGGAUCUGAAUGUAUGAAUGGUAAGAUGCUGUUCUAUGCAAGAAAGUCAUGGCAGAGACUAGUUCCACAUUUAUAUAUAUUAAAUUACAUUUCAUUACAUCUAUAAUACAAUGUAAAAGGUUUCUCCCUUUCCCUGGAAAACACAAUCUUAACGUUCACGUACUCGUGUACAACAAGCCUGUACACACACAGGAUCUUGGAGAGCAAGCUGGUUUGGAUGUUACUAGAAGUGUAUCACCCUGUAGAUGAUUUCUGUGACUCCUAGCUCUGGAUAAAUUGUGUCCUUUUUGUUGGAAUGAAUGCUGCAAUGCUGAGCUCAAGUCCUGCUGAGGGAAUCAGUGUGUCAGGGUUCCCAGUACUCC